CCUACGGGAGGCAGCAGUGAGGAAUAUUGGUCAAUGGGCGCGAGCCUGAACCAGCCAAGUCGCGUGAGGGAUGACGGUCCUAUGGAUUGUAAACCUCUUUUGUAGGGGAAUAAAGUACGCCACGUGUGCCGUUUUGAGUGUACCUGAUGAAUAAGCAUCGGCUAACUCCGUGCCAGCAGCCGCGGUAAUACGGAGGAUGCGAGCGUUAUCCGGAUUUAUUGGGUUUAAAGGGUGCGUAGGCGGAAGAUUAAGUCAGCGGUAAAAUUGAGAGGCUCAACCUAAUAGUGCAGUUGAAACUGGGAGGCUUGAGUAAGUGAGAGGUAUGCGGAAUGCGUGGUGUAGCGGUGAAAUGCUUAGAUAUCACGCAGAACUCCGAUUGCGAAGGCAGCAUAC
rnacentral:rRNA from 1 species